UCAUAAACAGCUCGUCAACCACCUUGGUAGCUUGCUAGACAACAUAGCCGAAAUAUUCAAGCUGUUUAUACGCGUUCGAUGUAUAUUAGCUACUGUGUUUUAGACACACUUCUGUCGUAUCUACUUGUUAACCUAUUUAAUUUAAUAUUACGUUAUUUUGUAUUGGUCAACUAUAGUAGCUGGCUGGUUUAGUUAGCACUAGCCUAGUCGCUAAUGAUAGCUAGCUAGCUAACAUCCCCGAACAUGAGGUCAGUAAGCUUCUCCCCUCUUGUUAAAGAAGAGGAGGUCUGCUGGACGGAGAAAGAAGCUCUGGGGCUGAACAUUGUCGUGAAAGAGGAGAAGGAAGAAGAGGAUGUCACAGUAAAACAAGAAGUAUAGGGUGAGGCUGUUACCGUGAAAGAAGAAGAGAAAGACGUUUCAAUGAAAGAAGAGGAAGAUGCGUUCAGAGUGAAAGAGGAGGAGGGUGUUACUGUGAAAGAAGAGGAGGAAGAGAAAGAGGAGGAUGCCGUUUUUGGAGUGAAGAAGGAAGGGGAGAUUACUGUCACAUUGGAAGAUGAAGAGGAGAUAGGAGAUCUGAUUAACACCACCUUCCUCUCCUCUGAAGACCCAAUGAGGGUGGAGCUCAGUCAGAGAGCUGUUGAGGGACUGGUUAGGAAGAACACUUCUACAGCCAGAGAGGGGCAGUCAAGAAAGGGAACAGCAAGGCCACAGAACAUGACAUAAGCAGAGCUGUGGGAGACCACCUCAAGCCCCUGGUAGAGCCGGGGGUGGUGUUUACCACUCCACCACGCCUUCAGCAGGCUGGAAAUGUGAGAUUGAUACUGUAUUUCAUACUAAGAUGGGGGGGUACCCCUUUGUGGACAAAUCUCUCAAUGUAUUACUGCUACCCUGGGGAGAUUGAUAUACCCCUUGAACACCGGCUCCGACCCUUGUCAGAUGAGGCAGGGCUUGCAAACUAUUAAAGACUACGAAGGGAAGCACAGCCGAUAGCUGCCCAGUGACACGAGCCUACCAGACGAGCGAAAUUACUUCUAUGCUCGCUUCAAGGAAAGUAUUACUGAAACAUGCAUGACAGCAUCAGUUGUUCCGGACGACUUUGUGAUCACGCUCUCCGCAGCCGAUGUGAGUAAGACCUUUAAACAGGUUAACAUUCACAAGGCCACAGGGCCAAACGGAUUACCAGGACGUGUACUCCAAGCAUGCGCUGACCAACUGGCAAGGGUCUUCCCUGACAUUUUCAUCCCCUGUCUGUUGGUAAUGAACAGCAGUUUAGGGUCGGAGUGGGAAUCAUCAGCAAGGAUGUUUUUGUGGGUGACCUGUUAACGGUCUCAAAGAUGGUGAAGGAUGAAUUGGGUAAAGUGGAAUCGGUUUGAGUGACCAGGAGUGGUAUGAUACUGAUUGUGUGUCAACAGCGCAAAAGGAGAAAGCUUUGUGUGGUUUAGGUUAAACAUUUCAGGUAGACGCACGUUGAUUAAAAUGAAUGCUAGACGGAAGGUUUUACUGUGGUUUGGUGAAGUGGUUCUCCCAUUGUUUGUAAAACCUGGGUAAGUGAGAUAUACAGAAGACGCUGCAGUGUUACAAUUGUAAAAAGGUUUGGACAUGUGGCAAGUGUUUGUCAAAGGAAUAAAUAUGUCGUAGUCAGAUGAAGCAUGUUGUAAUUGUGAUGGGAAUCACGUUCCCGAGUUCCCGGGGUGCCCUGCUCGGAUGAAGGAUGUCACAGUAGCUUGGAUGAUCAGGCCCAUCCAGCAGUGGGCCUGUGGAGGCAGUGAAAAUAGCUGAAGGAGUAGAGGAGAAGGUAGUUUAUGUCCCACAGUGAGGUCAUGCAGGAGAAGGAUCCCAACACACUAAUAGUGAACAAGGUGGACUUUGUUGUGUUUAUAGAGCAAGUGAUAAAUUUAAUUAAUAAAUUAUUAGUAACCUUCGUCCAAAACUAGCAGUUUCUGCAUUAGCAUGGAGGAGUUUAUACCACAAAAUUGCGUUUGCAUUGCCCUCACUGCAGCAGUGAUAAAUUGCAUUAAAAAUAAACUAAUAAAACAUCUAAGAAGCUAGACAUCAUUGUGAAGGCGGCAAAUAGAUUUCUGGAUCUCCAGGACUUCACAGACAAAAUGUUACAGGGAGUACUGAAUGAAGAAUUUCCACCCCUCCCAGGUUCCUGAACCUGUGUAGGGAUCUGUAUAGUACCAUUUUUGUUUGAAAUUCAGGGUAGUGGAGUGAAUUUGGUUCGUGUUUAUUUUACGUAAUUAGUAUGAUUUGUUAAAUCCCAAUUAUUUUAGCGUUUUGGUUAUUUUUUACAACCCCGUACAGUAGGUGGCAGCAAUACACCUGAUGAGUGUAGUCUGACAAUAAACCUCAGAGAAGAAGACAUGGUAGGAACAAAAGUGUUGGUCAGUGUUUCCAGUUGACCCUAAUUAGAUGUUAAGUUACAUGUUGUUUUCUUACUUCAUGUAGCCGGCUAGCUAGCCAACAUAUUCAUACAUCGCUUACUCCUCUCUGAUAAGAUACCGCUGCACAAACAUGCUUAUCUAGGCCUACACCAGCACUGGUACCAGGCAAUAUUAGCUAGCUACGUUUGCUCUGACUAUUAAUACAUUUAGCAAGCUAGCUAGCCCGCUAACUAGCGUUUAGCAGCUAACAUUAUUUGAGCAACACCUUGCUAAGAAAAGACAAUCUUUCGCCUUUAAAUGUAAUGGCAUGAAAAGAAUUGCCAGAAUAUUAUACAAUGACUUAUCAACAGCUGUAACAAUUUGACCCCAACAGGAAAUAUACACUGGCAGUUAUAGAAAGACCCAUUUACUAUAUAACCAUUGAUUCUUGAAGAAUAUAACUUAUAAAUGCCUCAAAUGUUUCAACCGUAUUACCCCACCAGAAACCAAAACAUAAGCUUGUAUAACGCCACUGUUUGUAAACAAAUACUAUAUGGCUGAGGAGUAGGGUCGAUCCAAGCGUUCUGACCUCACAAUGACAGUAAAGCACCCAAGCUAACUGGCUAAAGUUGGAUAGCUUGCUAGACACAAAUCAGAGAAAACCUCACUUUUACCAUUUUACUUGCCCUAGCAGAGCUGGUUAGGCUGUUGUCAUGUUAUUCAGAGCAUUGGUGACUAACUGUGCUGCUGGCAACAAUUUAAUUUGAGCUUUUUUGCAGAUGUUUACUGACACCAGCCAUAUUUAACAGGUGUUGAGCGUUAUUAAAUUCAUCAGUUAUUAUGCGCUCUAAUCAAGUCAAUAAACUUUGGGUAGUUAGUUAGAAUAUAGUUAAUAUACUGGCAAGUUUGAUGUAUAAGUAGCCAACUAAUGUUAGGCAGCUAGCUCACAUACUGGUACAUACUGCUGUAAAGAUAUGCUAUGCGUUUUGUAAGGAUAGUGUAGCUAACAUAAUGUGUAAGGUAACUUAUUUGAAAAGUCAUUACUUUAUUGCAUUGCUCAACAUUUGUCAUAAUUAUUUAAAGCAGUUCAUUUGUAUCCGCUCUCUCGUUGGACUUCGGCUGCAUAUUUCCCCCCAUUUUCUUCAAAUCUGAAAACGUUGAAGCCACAACCAAUUCCUGAAGAAUUGCAUUAUGGGCCCUAAAGUACUGCAUGUAUACUUCCCAUUUUUGCAAAUUUAGUACGACAUCCGGGAACUUUUGGCAUACUAACUAUAUCAUACUAUGACCAAUAAGCAGACUAUAUACUCUAUUAACAUCACAAAUAGUGCAGUUAGUAUGAGUAUUCUAACACAGCUCAGGACUCUGGGCAGCCAUUUUGUUUGUUUAAAAACUAGGUUGCCCCUUUAAAAAAGCCACACAACAAUCAAUCUAUUGGCAUACUAACUACAUCAUACUAUGACCAAUAAGCAGACUAUAUACUCUAUUAACAUCACAAAUAGAAUACUCAUACUAACUACAUCAUACUAUGACCAAUAAGCAGACUAUAUACUCAAUUAACAUCACAAAUAGAAUACUCAUACUAACUACAUCAUACUAUGACCAAUAAGCAGACUAUAUACUCAAUUAACAUCACAAAUAGAAUACUCAUACUAACUACAUCAUACUAUGACCAAUAAGCAGACUAUAUACUCAAUUAACAUCACAAAUAGAAUACUCAUACUAACUACAUCAUACUGUGACCAAUAAGCAGACUAUAUACUCUAUUAACAUCACAUAUAGAAUACUCAUACUAACUACAUCAUACUAUGACCAAUAAGCAGACUAUAUACUCUAUUAACAUCACAUAUAGAAUACUCAUACUAACUACAUCAUACUAUGACCAAUAAGCAGACUAUAUACUCUAUUAACAUCACAUAUAGUAGGGUUAGUAUGAGUAUUCUAACACAGCUCAGGACUCUGGGCAGCCAUUUUGUUUGUUUAAAAACUAGGUUGCCCCUUUAAAAAAGCCACACAACAAUCAAUCUGCAGUUGAAACAAUAACAAAGCUGUAAUUCCACCACUGUUUUGGUAAUAAGAUGGAUGGGGCUGGAGAAAUGUAACUAGUCUCAAAUUCACAGACAGACCUAAGGAUGCAAGGACUGACCAUCCAUGAUAUCAACAUUAUAGUUUUAACCAUGUUGAGGCUAUACAGUGUUGAUUUACAUUGUUUCUAAACAUUGGAGUAAAAAAUGCUUAUUUGUGGUUUUGAUGGGGCAAACAGUUGAACUAAGCUCAUGAGGCAUGUGUUAUAUUCUUCAAGAAUCAAUGGCUAUAAAUAAAUCAUUUAAAAGUCAAAAUAUGGAUGUAGCAAUUGCACAUUUCCGCUUUAACACCACACAUCAGUUCAACAAUCGCAGAGUUUGUGCCUCUGUUUUUAAGACAGUACUUACGAGUGUUAAUCAGGGAACGGUUUCUCAAAACCAUCUUAUUGUUAAGUUCACCGUUUGAACCAUUGGAUGCCUUAAGAUGCGUUUGGGAAACAGGGACCAGACAUCCAGUUUUCUCCUCUUCUUUCACUCUGAACGCGUCUUCCUCUUACACUGAAACGUCUUUCUCUUCUUCUUUCACUGUAACAGCCUCAUUCUCUACUUGUUUUUGUAUUGUAACAGCCUCCUCUUCUCCCGCCUCUUUCACGAGAGCUUCUUUCUCCAUCCAGCAGACCUCCUCUUCUUCAGCAAGAACAGGGUUAAGUUUGAGACUGGAACUAUGAGGCAUGUACUGAAGUCGCUAAGCGAUAUAAUUCAAAGCAGUGUCACUUUAUCAGCACAACGUGAUCAAUGACGUCUGAAGAAUAAUUUCGUCGAACACCUGAUUGGUUUGGUAUUGGGCUUGUUCGACAUUGCAGCUGACAGUGCAGGUGGCUACUGACUGCUGACUGACUAAUUUACAAAUCACCUUGCAUCAUAAAUAACUACACAUUAUUAUUUAUAAAACAGUCAGCCAGUUACCGGUUAACCACAACGCAGCAUGGAUUUGAUGCUCUCGAACACGGCCAGUGGUUUAAUAUAUGACCUAAUGGCUACGCUGCUACGGCGUGUGACUUAAUCUAUAAAAAUGUGGCUGUUCUAAAUUCUGUGUAGCUCAAAGCCUUGAGUAAUGAACCUAUUUUUGACACAAUUGGCUGGAAAGAGCCAAUGAUUCAGGAAGCUUUGUUUCCCCAUCACUACUUUGCAGCAUGUUUUCUGUGAAUUAGACUACGGGAGUUUUGUACGUUUUUCCAAAUUGGCUUAUUGCUAGCCGCUAGUUUUCUGACAUCUGGAAUCGAUUUGUAUUGAAUGAUGGGGAUUUCCCCUGCCAUCAUUCUGUAUGUCUCUUUUGAUCUGCAGUCAUGUUUUAUUUGUGUUUUGUUACUUGGGUUCUAACUGGUCUCCGGUAUUUGGGCUCCAGCUCGCUGACCAUAACCGUGCUGGUUGGCUAUGCUGGUUAGGCUAAUAGCUAGUUGACUAAAUAGCUAACGUUAGCUGGUUGGCUAAGAUAACUGCAUAUAGCUAAUGUUAGCUGGCUGGCUAAGAUAACUGCAUAUAGCUAAUGUUAGCUGGCUGGCUAAGAUAACUGCAUAUAGCUAAUGUUAGCUGGCUGGCUAAGAUAACUGCAUAUAGCUAACAUUUUUGGAUAGAUGGCGUUAUGUAUUUCCAAAACUGUGGUUUUCUUUAAUCACUCAAAUAAUGAGUUCAAACGAUUGGUUUAAUUUGAAGUUCUACAUUUUAAGUUAUUUCUGUUGUAGUUUACAUCAUAGGGAAUAGGCUGGUCCUCCAUAUUACAUCACACCUGACUGGCAUUCUUCUGAAUUCUGAUUGGUUUAAUGUAUUAACUCCAAAAAUAGAACUGUGAGGUGUUACUUUGCAUUGGAAAUGUUUUAAUAUUUUAUUUGAUAUUUUAUAAACAAUACAAAACAUACACAUACAAACAACAACAUCAUACAAACAUUAACUACAUGACUCCUGCCCAGACCCACUAGAACACACCUCCAUCUCCAUUAACUACAUCACACCUGCCCAGACCCACUAGAACACACCUCCAUCUCCAUUAACUACAUCACACCUGCUCAGACCCACUAGAACACACCUCCAUCUCCAUUAACGACAUCACACCUGCCCAGACCCACUAGAACACACCUCCAUCUCCAGCUCCUGCAUCACUGUCUGCCACAUGGCCUCAAACUGCACCAUUUUAUUUCUCACUGUCGCCCAGCACUUUACCUUUCUAUUGCGUUAUCAAUGGAGGAUUGGUUGAUUUCCAGUUUAAGUAUAGUAUUUAAGAUGAUUGACGAGAACAGUAUAGUCCAACCAUCCGGUAACUUGUUUCAUGCUCAUCAAAGGUGAGGGUGAAUUUCAGAUGUUCACUGCUUGUAUUGAUGAAGGAGUGGAAUCGAUGAAGUUCCUCUGCUGUCCCCUGGAAUAGAAGGAACACAUCAUCAAUGAAGACUUUUACAGAACCUGAUGAGGUGCUAGAAUGGAUUGUUAGGGCUGACAAUCACAUUCUUCUCUAACAACCUCACAUACAGUUCCGCAUAAUUAGAUGCUAUUUUUUUAAACUACAAUGACUAUAAUGACCUGAGCGCCUACUUGUCUUGUCUGUGUUUCUUUUACACCUGCUACGUAAAAGAGACCGAAGAAUGUGUAACAGUAUAGCUUCCGUCCCUCUCCUGGCCCCUACCUGGGCUCGAACCAGGGACUCUGCACACAUCAACAACUGCCUCCCACGAAACAUCGUUACCAUCGCUAUUAGCGCGCACCCCGCUAACUAGCUAGCCAUUUCACAUCGGUUACUAAUGCACAAUGGUCAAUGCUAUCUGGGAUUCUUGGGACAUCCCUACCCAAAACCCUAACUUAACCGUUUGAAAUGUCAAGUUCAAUGGGCUAGUGUUAGGAUUGGUGUUUAUUACUAUAACCCAAUGCUAUAUCACAUGUGAUAUGUUAGCCUGGGCGCCUGGGUGUCUGUGUGUGUGUGCUGGAAGUAACAGUUAGCCCCAGAUAAGUGUGCUGGGAAGCUGUGGUUAGCCUUGAGCGAGAACAGUGUGCUUUGUAUGCAGGUGCAAAUAGCUCAGACAAUGAUGCAGAGCUGUCUGACUUCAGUCUCUGGGGUGAGGGAGCGUAAUCUACACAGCAACAGCGCCGGGACACCAAGGAGCGCCAAGAGGCUGGGACCAGCCUGAGCGCCGGCGAUAGGCUGAGCAAAGUUUAAACCAAGCUCAGCCUCCACUGUGAUAGGCCAACAGACGGGUUGGAACUAGUCUGCCACAGUAUAAGAACAGCUGUUUACUUACAUCCUGCCAGUUCUCAGUUCUGCCCUGCGAGGUGAUACAGAGAGCCCAUAUAUACGAAAAAUGCAUUUACCAUUUAUCGCUUGAGUUUAAUAAAAAUACUUAAAGUAUAUUCGGUGACUCUGAAUCACAUUUUGUCCUGAUACCAGAUUUGAAUUGACGCAAAUCCCUUAUACUAGUGACGUCCGGGACGUCCCAAGGAUGUAUCGCUACCUGAAAAUACAUGAUCUAAGUGAUUGAUAGUUGGUAUUCAGCAGUCAUAAACCCUAAUUUACUUUAAUGAACUACUAAAAUAGUGAUUUUGUCAGACAGCAGCUCUACACUUUAUUGACUGACUGAUCCAUUCAUCCUUCCAUCCCUCCUCAGCCUUCCUCUCCUCUGAAGACCCAGUGAGGGUGGAGCUCAGUCAGAGAGCUGUUGAGGGACUGGUUAGGAAGAACACUUCUACAGCCAGAGAGGGGCAGUCAAGAAAUGGAACAGCAAGACCACAGAACAUGACAUAAGCAGAGCUGUGGGAGACCACCUCAAGCCCCUGGUAGAGCCGGGGGUGGUGUUUACCACUCCACCACGCCUUCAGCAGGCUGGAAAUGUGGGAUUGAUCUGUUUGAUCCAGUAGUUGAAUCCUUUGACUUAUUGUUGAUUUCAAAACAUUUCAGUUUCAACAAAUGAACUGGGUUGGUUGAAAAAUGAUACUAAACGUACAUACCAUGUACGUUUUAACAUAGUGGAAGAUAUUUUAACAUAGUGGAAGAUAUACUGUUUUUCAUACUAAGAUAUGUUUUGCUUUUGCACAUAUUUGUUCAUUGGUUUUGCUAGUCUGUUGAUUGUCAGUCAUUGGGUUCAUUUGUCUUACAAUAUGUUCAAAUCAAGCUUUAUUUAUACAGCACAUUUCAGACACGGUGUUAAAGGAAUUUUAAUUCC